UGGGGAAUAUUGGACAAUGGGGGCAACCCUGAUCCAGCAAUGCCGCGUGUGUGAAGAAGGCCUUCGGGUUGUAAAGCACUUUUAUCGGGAACGAAACAUUGUCGGCCAAUACCCGGCAAGACUGACGGUACCCGAGGAAUAAGCACCGGCUAACUCCGUGCCAGCAGCCGCGGUAAUACGGAGGGUGCAAGCGUUAAUCGGAAUUACUGGGCGUAAAGCGUGCGCAGGCGGUUUGUUAAGUCUGCUGUGAAAUCCCCGAGCUCAACUGGGGAAUUGCAGUGGAUACUGGCAAGCUGGAGUACGGUAGAGGAAGGUGGAAUUCCCGGUGUAGCAGUGAAAUGCGUAGAGAUCGGGAGGAACACCAGUGGCGAAGGCGGCCUUCUGGACCAGUACUGACGCUCAUGCACGAAAGCGUGGGGAGCAAACA
rnacentral:rRNA from 1 species